ensembl:lncRNA
CAGCUGUUUCACUUUUUACUAUGGAUGCUAAAUAACCCAUGUUGAACGUUUCACCUGGUCGUGUCUUGAUGAGCAAGUGCACUGCUGGAUCUCAUAGGCACGUCAUACGUGGGCACAUUUUCCUGGAUGUCAUCUGCCUUGCAGAACACGCCCCUCUUCACUGUCGCCUGCACUCCCCUGACAGCUCAGCGCAUUUUUCUGGCAAUAGCGAGACCACCAAGCACCAGCAGGCUGACCAUGAAUACUGAGGAAGGCCGGUUUCCUCUAUACCUAAGAGCCUGGGGACACCUUUGGCAUUCUCCACUCUCAAAGAGCCUUCCUCUGUGAGGAGCUGCAGGAACGGAGCUGUCAUUUCUCCUCCUGGGGAGAAGACACAGGAACUAAGCCAUGAGACAACUCGUCCCCAUCGCAUCCCCAUUGAACAGGUGGAGAACAUGAGCAGAAGUGGCUGUGACCCGGCCAGCCAUAAGCUAGUAGGGCCGUGUUAUUGCUAUGCCUCUACCAGUUUGUGCAAUCUCAGUCACCGUCUCACACGGGCCUAGUCCCACCUUUCAGUCCCAUCC